AGAAGUAUUGCUUAAGUCUUACUUCAGAAGAGCAGAUGGUGUUUUGCUGCUGUAUGAUGUUACAUGUGAGAAAAGCUUUCUCAACGUACGAGAAUGGGAAGGUACGGUUGAGACCUAUGGGGCGUUAUUUUGUAAAACAAACGCCAAAGAUGGUUCGAAUAUAGUGGAAGCUGUUCUCCAUCUCUCCUGGGAAGUGAAGAAAAGAACUGGUGAGGAUGACAGCAAAUCCAUUUCCAGUCUGAGUGGGACCAGUUCCAAAAAGUCAGCCGAGAUGAAUUGUUGCAAUGGUUAAAUCCCAAACAUUCUUGGCCCAUGAGGCCUUCAUUUCCAGAGUACUGAAUGAAAUCAAGAUUAUUAUCAACAUUUGAUUUCGUGAAGGUGUUCUCAAAUUUAAAGAAUAUUUUUGAUCUAGACAUUAAGAUAUGUCUUCAUAGAUGAAAAUGGAAAAUAGGCACAAAUGCUUCAACUUGAAAUUACAGGGUACAAACCCACAAAGACAGAAGACAAUAGCGACAAAAUUAUGAAACUGGAGAGCAGAUGAAAAAUUUGGAAAUGAGUUAACAACCUAAGAAAGCUGAAUCCUAAGCCAGUAGUGGGGGAAAGCUGAGAGGAAUCUAGAUUUACACUGAAGAUUUUCCAGAAGGCUCAGGAAUUGGUGGAAGCAGGAUACUGUUGCCUUUAUCUUCCAGAGAUUGAAAGACUUUUCCAUGGAGUACUGACCAGCUAAGAGGUAAGACCUCUCCCCAAGAAAUGCACCCUGCCCACAUCACCCUACAGUAAAGUUGGUAAGUUGCUCCCAUCACUCAGAGCUUUCAAUCAGGAUUUUAGCUCCCCUGAACAAUCAAAGGAUCACUGGAUUUUUGUGGAAGGCUCUAACGUGGAAAAUGGAGACCAAAUAAACAGAAAAAUAUCAAUGUGGGAGGAAUAGAUCUUAUGGAGGGAAAAAAAAGCUAUCAUUAAUAUAUUUAGAGAGAUAGACAAAACUAUCACAGCCAUGAAACAAGAACAAGGCACUAUCAAUAAGGAACAUUCACAGAGCAAAAAUAAGCUCUUAGAAAUUAAAAACAGGGGACAGAGUCAAGAUGGUGGUGUGGAAAGACACCAAGUUAAUGUCUCCCUACAACUAGGGCACCUGCCGGCCACUGGUGAGGGACCCUGAUGCCCAAAGAGAUGGGAGGAACCCCCAAGCGAACCACCAGGGGUUGGGCCGAAGCUCCUGUGGUGGGGGCUCUCUGUUGGAACCACUGGACUUAACAGAGAACCUCAGACCCCAGGGAAUAUU